rnacentral:lncRNA from 1 species
GCGGCGCCGCUGGGUUUCGGCUAAGUUUUUCAGCUGUUUGGCCGGUGGUUUGGCUCCGGUUUGGCCAUAGGCGGACUCAGCGUCGAAAAACAAGUAAGGGAGAGAAAAAUUACCUCAAUCAGCGGUCGAAAAUUUCCCCAGUGCGGCGGCGGGUAGUGGCGGCCGGCUCCUCCGGCGACUGGUUCUUCUUCUCCGGCGAGCACUGGCAGCUAGGGUUUCUUUGGUCAGGUGUGGGUGGGGGUAUUUAUACCCUUCGCCUUUUAAUCUUGACCAUCCAUCAAGAUUGAAUCUGGGCCGUUCGAUCGCGAUUUAAUUGGGAUUAAAUCUGGGCCGUUCAUCGCGAUGCAAUCUGGGUCGUCUGUGCCUGAUUGAAUCUGGGCCGUCCGUGCGCGUGAAUCUAGGCCGUCCGUGCGCACGUUUGAUCUUGGUCGUCCGUGCGCACGGGAACAGAUCUGGGCUGUCCAAUCGCGCGCACGCAGAUCGCCCCCGUGGCCCGUCCCCUGGUCAGCGUGUCCUUGCCACGCGGCGCGUCCUGAUUGGCCGGGGCUGCUGACCGAGCCGCU